rnacentral:rRNA from 1 species
GGAAGGUGGGGAGUGACGUCAAGUCAUCAUGGCCCUUACGCCUAGGGCGUACACACGUACUACAAUAGGUGGGUACAAAGGGCGAGCGAAACCGCGAGGUCGAGCGAAUCUCAAAAACUACAUCAUAGUCCGGAUUGCAGUCUGCAACUCGACUGCAUGAAGUUGGAAUCGCUAGUAAUCCCCGGAUCAGCAUGCCGGGGUGAAUACGUUCCCGGGCCUU